rnacentral:misc_RNA from 1 species
AAGUCGUAACAAGGUUUCCGUAGGUGAACCUGCGGAAGGAUCAUUAGUGAAGUCUACAUGAGCGCCGUUCACUCGGGCUCGACUACACAUUAUCUACACCUGUGCAUCAGACCUUUUUUAAACGCCACUGCAAAGUCAAGGAUGUGUCUAAACACAAACAUAACAAAAUAAAA